rnacentral:lncRNA from 1 species
GCGGAAAGACACGAAAGGCAACCGGUAAGAAAUGUCGCACCCAGAGGAGGUGGAGUUCCCGAUUUAGGCCAACAAGCUCUCUUGCGAGAAUUUCAGCGAAUGCUUCGAAACGAGCUUGAAUCUAUCCAUGAAAGGCUAGAACGAGUCGAAGAAAGAGAACAACGAGAAAGAACCCUUCAAGGUCCAAGAUGGGAACGAGGACAAGCAAGACUCCAUGAUGAUAACCUC